rnacentral:rRNA from 1 species
GUCCAUGCCGUAAACGUUGGGCACUAGGUGUGGGGGACAUUCCACGUUUUCCGCGCCGUAGCUAACGCAUUAAGUGCCCCGCCUGGGGAGUACGGCCGCAAGGCUAAAACUCAAAGGAAUUGACGGGGGCCCGCACAAGCGGCGGAGCAUGCGGAUUAAUUCGAUGCAACGCGAAGAACCUUACCAAGGCUUGACAUGAACUGGAAAUACCUGGAAACAGGUGCCCCGCUUGCGGUCGGUUUACAGGUGGUGCAUGGUUGUCGU